rnacentral:rRNA from 1 species
CACGUAGGGAGCAAGCGUUGUCCGGAUUUAUUGGGCGUAAAGAGCUCGUAGGUGGUUCGGUAAGUCAGGUGUGAAACCUCCAGGCUCAACCUGGAGACGCCACUUGAUACUGCUGUGACUGGAGUCCGGUAGGGGAGCGUGGAAUUCCUGGUGUAGCGGUGAAAUGCGCAGAUAUCAGGAGGAACACCAGCGGCGAAGGCGGCGCUCUGGGCCGGUACUGACGCUGAGGAGCGAAAGCGUGGGUAGCAAACAGG